GGCUGUUUUUUAAUUUUGGACAGUAUAUGUAUAUGUCGAAAAAUACAAACUAUUAGUAAAAAAUAUAUUUCAAACACAGAUUUUGCUUUGAGUAUAAAACAAUGGCUCUAACUUUUAUUCUGGUACCUGAUGUCAAAAAAUACAUUUGAUGAACUAAUGUCACAAAGCUUUUUUGAAGAACACAAAGAAUUAGAAGGCCAACAACAAUUAACAGAAUUAUGGAAGCAAUACAACACGACACUAGGGC